UCUUGCAAAACCCUGAGAUAAACUUGGUUAUGUAAAAAGGCACGAGGUUAAAAAUAUGAAAGCUUCAUUUGUGGGACAGGACGUGAUGGCUGCUAAAAUGUUUGAAGGAUAAACAGCGAUUUGAAAGGCUGGCAAUGGAGAAAAAUGCAGCAGGACCUGGAGACACUGGCCACCUGGCUUAAGUCCCCUCAUUUCGCCACCACCCUAGAAAUGACCAGUUUGUCAAAUGCUCUUGGAACCAGCUUUACCAUCCUACCUGUUCUUUCAACAAUUAAAAUAAAAUCAUUGACAAGGGUUCAUUCUAUGAAGCAUCCCAGUGACCAGCUUGCCUUCUCCUCACUAUCUUCUUCCCAGGGUGGAGGCAUGAGUUAUGGCCGUUGAGGAUUAAAUGAUGAACUAAAGUAAGUGAAAGAAGACAUUUUAGGAGCAA